CCUGCCCCUAGAGGCGUUGCAGGUGUGGCUGCUGUGUCACAUGUGUGUCAGUAGGUGGCAGAGAGGAAAGAGGCUAUGUCUACGCUCAGUGUUCUGACCUGUGAACAUCUGAAUGAUUAGUAGCCUAACAUUC
ensembl:snoRNA